GUACUACUAAAGACAAGCACCAGUUUCCCACUAGUGAUACUGGGGAUAAGUGGGCAGAGUAUGAGCCACCGUUUGUUGAAGAAGCAACAUAGCAGUUUCACUAUAUCCCUUUAAUUUUAAUC